rnacentral:rRNA from 1 species
GAUGAACGCUGGCGGCGUGCCUAAUACAUGCAAGUCGAGCGAACGGACGAGAAGCUUGCUUCUCUGAUGUUAGCGGCGGACGGGUGAGUAACACGUGGAUAACCUACCUAUAAGACUGGGAUAACUUCGGGAAACCGGAGCUAAUACCGGAUAAUAUUUUGAACCGCAUGGUUCAAAAGUGAAAGACGGUUUUGCUGUCACUUAUAGAUGGAUCCGCGCCGCAUUAGCUAGUUGGUAAGGUAACGGCUUACCAAGGCAACGAUGCGUAGCCGACCUGAGAGGGUGAUCGGCCACACUGGAACUGAGACACGGUCCAGACUCCUACGGGAGGCAGCAGUAGGGAAUCUUCCGCAAUGGGCGAAAGCCUGACGGAGCAACGCCGCGUGAGUGAUGAAGGUCUUCGGAUCGUAAAACUCUGUUAUUAGGGAAGAACAAAUGUGUAAGUAACUAUGCACGUCUUGACGGUACCUAAUCAGAAAGCCACGGCUAACUACGUG